AAACAGCUACACAACUACUGCAGACAACAAGGAAAACUGAGGGACCAAAUCAGGACAACCCUCUAAACAUGACUGCACUUCAUGUUGUACAGACAACCGCCCAGCCUGCUGUUCCAGUGCAUCUCCUCCAGCUGUUGGGUCAUCUCCAUGCAGGUGGAAACUUUGAGAGGAGACAAAAUCCACUGGAAUGAAAACUGCAGUGAGCUUUUGAGAAAACACUCUACACUGCAAGGCGCUGCUGCUGCAUUACCAUGGCAACGGUGAAGAGAGCAUGUGUUGGAGUCAGAGUCUCAAGAGGUGAAGCAGCAGGUGAGUGGUGACUGGCACUGUACUGAUCUGUGGAGGCGGGGGCAAGGAAGCCUGCUGGGAUUUGAGUUUUCCACCUGAUCCAUCUCUGGACACACAUGUGACCUACUGAAGCCGAUGACAGUGGAGCUGACAAAUAGCGUUCUGCAUGGAGUUAAUGAGGGAAGAGCAGAUGUAUGCUGUCCCUCUGAAGAUACAAGUGCAUGUGCCUCAGAUACAAUUAAUUGUGUACUGUAUAUGCAUGCUCACA